rnacentral:rRNA from 1 species
GAUAGCUAGCAAUCCCAUAAACCGUGGCUCAGUUCAGAUCGUAGGCUGCAACUCGCCUACGUGAAGUAGGAAUCGCUAGUAAUCGCAGGUCAGCAUACUGCGGUGAAUACGUUCCCGGGCCUUGUACACACCGCCCGUCACACCAUGGAAGUUGGCCAUGCCCGAAGUCGUUACUCCAACCCUUGUGGAGGAGGACGCCGAAGGUGGGGCUAAUGACUGGGGUGAAGUCGUAACAAGGUAGCCGUACCGGAAGGUGCGGCUGGAUCACCUCCUAA